GCGGGGCGAACCGAACCUCCUCGCGCCGGCUGAUGGCGGCGGCGGGCGCGUGCGGAGGGCCUUGCUYAUGGCGCAGUAGUUGCUGGCGAGGCGAAGGAGGACAGUGGUGCACAUAAGCACUGUCUUACAACCUUUAUACCCUCUUGUCUCAAACUCAAAUGUGGGAUGCUGAGGGGUUCAGAAUCGUGUAGAAGGGAUCGGCAGAUCAUAUCAGCCCAGCUGUGAGGAUGGCUUCUGAAUAUGACUCUAAAAUGUUUGUACUGGUGUAAAAAUGAAUAAUUCACUGAGCUGUGAAUUACAGAAGGUUUUAAGACUCUGGAUCUUAGGCAAAAUGCAGAAAAUCUUAUAAUACCUUUUACAGAGUUUUUCAUCUGUUCAUCUUGAAUCAUUUUGUCCAGGGAGGUAAGUAUCAUGUCUGUCUCUCUCUUUUUUUUUUUUUUUUGGUGGUGGGGAGGGGGAGUGGGGAAACAG
rnacentral:lncRNA from 1 species